rnacentral:rRNA from 1 species
AUUGAACGCUGGCGGCAGGCUUAACACAUGCAAGUCGAGCGGAGAUGAGGUGCUUGCACCUUAUCUUAGCGGCGGACGGGUGAGUAAUGCUUAGGAAUCUGCCUAUUAGUGGGGGACAACAUUCCGAAAGGAAUGCUAAUACCGCAUACGCCCUACGGGGGAAAGCAGGGGAUCUUCGGACCUUGCGCUAAUAGAUGAGCCUAAGUCGGAUUAGCUAGUUGGUGGGGUAAAGGCCUACCAAGGCGACGAUCUGUAGCGGGUCUGAGAGGAUGAUCCGCCACGCUGGGACUGGGACGCGGCCCAGACUCCGACGGGGGGCAGAAGUGGAGAAUAUUGGACAAUGGGCGGAAGCCUGAUAUAGCCAUGCCGCGUGUGUGAAGAAGGCCUUUUGGUUGUAAAGCACUUUAAGCGAGGAGGAGGCUACCUGGAUUAAUACUCUAGGAUAGUGGACGUUACUCGCAGAAUAAGCACCGGCUAACUCUGUGCCAGCCGCCGCGGUAAUAC